rnacentral:rRNA from 1 species
GACGAACGCUGGCGGCGUGCUUAACACAUGCAAGUCGUACGGUAAGGCCCUUUCGGGGGUACACGAGUGGCGAACGGGUGAGUAACACGUGAGUAACCUGCCCACAACUUUGGGAUAACGCUAGGAAACUGGUGCUAAUACUGGAUAUGUGCUCCUGCUGCAUGGUGGGGGUUGGAAAGCUCCGGCGGUUGUGGAUGGACUCGCGGCCUAUCAGCUUGUUGGUGGGGUAGUGGCCUACCAAGGCGGCGACGGGUAGCCGGCCUGAGAGGGUGACCGGCAACAUUUGGACUCAGAUGUGGCCCAGACUGCGACGGGAGGCAGCGGGUGGGAAUAAUGCACCAUGGGCGCGAGCCUGAUGCAGCGACGCCGCGUGCGGGAGGACGGACUUCGGGUUGUCAUCCGCUUUCAGCAGGGACUACGAUUUUUGUGACGGUACCUGCAGAAGAAGCACCGGCUAACUACGUG